GAGGAAAAGAAACUAACAAGGAUUCCCGUAGUAACGGCGAGUGAACUGGGAAGAGUCCAGCGCUGAAUCUCAUUGCUCUUGUAGUUUUGCGAAAUGUAGCGUAUAGGUGUGGUUUUUCGUUUAGUUGCUUGGUACAAGUUACUCCGGAUUGGGGCUUCAUAGAAGGUGAUAGGCCUGUACUACUAAAGUAAUUAUUCGAAUAGCUAUACCUUGGAGUCGGGUUGUUUGGGAACGCAGCCUAAAGUAGGUGGUAAACUUCACCUAAGACUAAAUAUCACUACGAAUCCGAUAGCAAACAAGUACCGUGAGGGAAAGUUGAAAAGCACUUUGAAGAGAGAGUUAAAGAGCACGUGAAAUCGGUAAGGUGGAAACGAAUCGAGUCGACGUAUCUGACUUGUGUUCAGCCGUUAAAUUGUGCUUGUCGAUCGGUUAGGCGUUCGUUAUGCGGGCGUUUUGUCGGUUGUUCGAGUCGCUUUAGCGGUGCAUUCACGAGUCUAUGUGCGCUGGAGGAUGUGCGAUGGCAAUUUUCGUAGUUUUGACGAGGAUGCAUGAUCUUUGCGUCUGUGUAAAACCGGCUUAACUACAGAUUUUUCAGGGAAUUGUUCGUUGUGCAUUUAAUAGAUUUUAUUUAUUCGGAAAGCUUGGAGAUUUUAUUCGAAUUGUUACAGGCAAUUAUUUUUAUUUUAUAUGGCGGUCGCAUGCGACACGUAUAUUCAAAAUAGAUUUGAUUGUUUGUCAAUUCACUAGCUUUCUA
rnacentral:rRNA from 1 species